GACGGAGGAUGCAAGUGUUAUCCGGAAUCACUGGGCGUAAAGCGUCUGUAGGUGGUUUGAUAAGUCAACUGUUAAAUCUUGAGGCUCAACCUCAAAAUCGCAGUCGAAACUAUUAGGCUAGAGUAUAGUAGGGGUAAAGGGAAUUUCCAGUGGAGCGGUGAAAUGCGUAGAGAUUGGAAAGAACACCGAUGGCGAAGGCACUUUACUGGGCUAUUACUAACACUGAGAGACGAAAGCUAGGGUAGCAAAUGGGA
rnacentral:rRNA from 1 species